UACGUAGGGACCAAGCGUUGUUCGGAUUUACUGGGCGUAAAGGGCGCGUAGGCGGCGCGGUAAGUCACUUGUGAAAUCUCUGAGCUUAACUCAGAACGGCCAAGUGAUACUGCAGUGCUAGAGUGUGGAAGGGGCAAUCGGAAUUCUUGGUGUAGCGGUGAAAUGCGUAGAUAUCAAGAGGAACACCUGAGGUGAAGACGGGUUGCUGGGCCGAUACUGACGCUGAGGCGCGAAAGCGUGGGGAGCGAACAAG
rnacentral:rRNA from 1 species